AAAAACAUACACAAAAAUGUGUGAGGCAAAUUUUUAUGUUUCUUUCUCCAAUAUAUUAAAUAAAUAAAAUACCUAUUCGGAAACUACAAAGGUGUGUCGUGAGUGGAGGCAUCUCUACAAUUUCAAUGUUGAUUAACGAUGUAUGCCAAGAAUGAUCAGCCUCUAAUCUAGUUAACUAAUAGCCGAAGGCAAUCAAAAAGCUGUAAAUUUUCGGAAACCAAUGCGAGGAACAGUUUGACUUCUUCACAUCGUAAAAAUAAAUCAACUAACUCAUACGGUUCGACUAUAAAAAUUUAAAGAAUUAUCACAAAUUGUAUGGCUAAUGAGAUCUAUAAAUUUUAGUCAGAACGUGCGGAGACAAAUUUUAUAGGAUUCCUGUGAGAUUUAAUUCACCUUUUUUCCUAUGGAUUUUUAUGCAAUAAAAUUCAA